rnacentral:tRNA from 1 species
GUCAGGAUGGCCGAGCGGUCUAAGGCGCCAGACUCAAGGACAUAUUCCUUGCUUCAAUAAGAGAAGUUGCAGUAUGCAGUAUUCUGGUCUUCAAUGAAGGCGUGGGUUCAAAUCCCACUCCUGACA